GCAGGCGCGAAACCUUUACACUGCRCGACAGUGCGAUAGGGGGAUCCCAAGUGCACAGGCAUAGCGCCUGUGCUUUUCGGUACCCUAAGGCGGUACCAGAAUAAGGGCUGGGCAAGACCGGUGCCAGCCGCCGCGGUAAUACCGGCAGCCCAAGUGAUGGCCGAUCUUAUUGGGCCUAAAGCGUCCGUAGCUGGCCGUACAAGUCCAUCGGGAAAUCCACCUGCUCAACAGGUGGGCGCCCGGUAGAAACUGUGCGGCUUGGGACCGGAAGGCGCGACGGGUACGUCCGGGGUAGGAGUGAAAUCCCGUAAUCCUGGACGGACCGCCGAUGGCGAAAGCACGUCGCGAGAACGGAUCCGACAGUGAGGGACGAAAGCCAGGGUCUCGAACCGGAUUAGAUACCCGGGUAGUCCUGGCCGUAAACAAUGUCUGCUAGGUGUGGCUCCCACUACGAGUGGGUGCUGUGCCGUAGGGAAGCCGCUAAGCAGACCGCCUGGGAAGUACGUCCGCAAGGAUGAAACUUAAAGGAAUUGGCGGGGGAGCACUACAACCGGAGGAGCCUGCGGUUUAAUUGGAUUCAACGCCGG
rnacentral:rRNA from 1 species